rnacentral:rRNA from 1 species
AACACAUGCAAGUCGAGGGGUAGCAGGGUAGCAAUACCGCUGACGACCGGCGCACGGGUGAGUAACACGUAUCCAACCUUCCCAUAACUCAGGGAUAGCCUUUCGAAAGAAAGAUUAAUACCUGAUAGUACUUUUUCAAGGCAUCUUGAGAAAGUUAAAGAUUUAUUGGUUAUGGAUGGGGAUGCGUUCCAUUAGAUAGUUGGUGAGGUAACGGCUCACCAAGUCUUCGAUGGAUAGGGGUUCUGAGAGGAAGGUCCCCCACAUUGGUACUGAGACACGGACCAAACUCCUACGGGAGGCAGCAGUGAGGAAUAUUGGUCAAUGGGCGAGAGCCUGAACCAGCCAAGUAGCGUGAAGGAUGAAGGUCCUAUGGAUUGUAAACUUCUUUUAUAGUAGAAUAAAGUGAUCCACGUGUGGAUUUUUGUAUGUAUACUAUGAAUAAGGAUCGGCUAACUCCGUGCCAGCAGCGGC